rfam:Ailuropoda melanoleuca scaffold1997_124, whole genome shotgun sequence.
ACCUGGCUGGCUCAGUUGGAAUAGCAUGAGACUCUUGAUCUCGGGGUCGUGGGUUCGAGUCCCACACUGGGUG